AAUAGUUUUUUAAAUGGAAACUGGGAUGAAAGAAGUGAUGAGAUUUAUACUGUCUUAGGUUAAAUUAUUAAAUUUAUUAAUUAAGUAAAAAUACUUAAAUAUAAAUAUGGGACGAGAAGACCCUAUAGAAUUUUAUAUAAAUUUAUUAUGCAUUUUAUAAUAAGAGAAUAUUAAUAAGUUUAUAUUUUAUUGGGAGGAUAGUUAAAUUAUAAGAACUUUAAUAGAAUUAAUAAAACAUUAAUUUAUGAUUUAUAAAAAUAAAAGAAUGGCUAAAGUUAGUUUAAAUAGAAUUAAUUACCUUAGGGAUAACAGCGUUAUAUCUUUAGAGAGAUCAUAUUAAUAAAGAUGAUUGC
rnacentral:rRNA from 1 species